ensembl:lncRNA
CCGACAGCGUGCUAAGAGACGGCAGAGAAGAAUGGACCAUCGGACCCUCACGCCAGGGUGUGUGUGGAUGUGUGGAGCUCUGUCUGGCCAGCGGAUGAUGUUGAUGUGUGAGUCCGAGAGAGGGAUGAGCUGACGCGGACAUGAUGUCACGGUGUGGGACACAUUUCAUUGGCAACGUUCAUCAUUAUGACGCUCCUACAAAACAAUGGUAGGCCUACUCAUAAAAACAACCUAAACCUAGCCCUAUCAAAACGGGUGUCAGCCAUGAGAAUAACCCAUUCCUUUCUACGACUCUUAGCCAAUAACGCUUUCUUUAAACACGUUCGUUCUAAGCCGAAUGUCCCUUUGGGGUCACUGUAGAAACAUGGCUGGCAUUAAUGGCCGCCCCCAAGGAAGAGGACCCCCCAUGGAGAUAUAAAGGCUCGUUCUAAGUGCAGGGUUCCCAGGGCGUGGCCGAGAGAGUCGGCAGCAGG